GUAGAAGAACUUUUUACUAGAUAUAAUUAUUAUAAUAAUAUAGAUAUAUUGGAAACGUAGACGAGUAAAAAUAUAAGAAAGUGCAACUUGAAAACCUUCAACUAUAACGUCUUCUGGUAAAAAUUACUGUUUCAUUUUGAAUCGGAUGAAUGUUCGAGAAUAUUCACAGUUAUAUUUGACAGUUUUAACUACUAAAACUAGCGUUGAAACAAAUGAAAUACAUAUCUAAAGAAGAUGUUUAACUUAACCUUUUCAACUCAGAAGUUAUAAGCAGAAUGGCAGCUUAACCAUUGACCACAGAAGAAAUCAAUUACCUCAGAUCUUGGUAUCUUACCUCCAUAAUUGGUACAGAUGCUGUCAAAGCAUAUUUUGACAGGGUGCAUCCACCUGCUGUUCUGGAAACACAUUUGGCAAAUGACAAAUUAGCACUGGAGUCACUAAAACAAGAUGGCAUAAUAAGCAAAGCAAUGUGGGAAAAAAUGUAUCCAAAGCCAAGAGUUAGACCAACAUCUGCAGACUUUGAUAUAACUAUCUUGAUUUGCCUUCUACGGGAAAUGAUCCAAAAAGUACAGUCUCCAAGGGGUGGAUUUGAUCACUUACCACACAAAGCUGACACAUCUGCAGGUGCUUGUUUAGCCAUCAUAAAGCAUUAUAGAAAUUUUCUGGCACAUCCUGAUCAAGAGAAACUGAGAGCUCUUUCGAGUACAAAAUUCAAUGAUCUGUUUACUCAAGUUGGAAAGGCAAUUCAAGUUCUUGGCAACAACCAGUACUCGAGUAAGAUCACAGUUGCAAAAAAGUUGAAUAUCGACAAUGAUAUUGCUCAGAUUCUGGAGAAGAUUGUAACCUAUGAAAAGCAAUUUCAAUAUUUACAGGAAGAGGUCAACAGGAAUUCCAGUCAAACAAGGUAUCAAGAGAAAAAAAUCAAAGAGCUUCAUGAAAAAUAUGAAGAAAUUGAAAAUGACCGAAUGGAAGUAAAGGAUUCUCAUCAGCAUGUCAUAGAUCAGAUGUCAGAAAUCAGAAGUAACAUAAAACUUCAGAAAGAAGCUUUGGAAAAGAGAGUUAAAGAACAAAAACAACUAGCUGCAACCCAGAUCAAGCAUGGUAAACAAAUCCAAACUCUUGAGCAAGAGGCUAGUUCAAUGAAAAAAAAACAGGAAGACCAAAGAAAGGACAUGAAGGAAUUGACAGAAAAACAUUUUGCUAUCACAAGUCACGCUGAACAGUUGGAGAAGAUAACAAGUGAGCAUAGCCAACAGCUAAGUGAGAGUGUGGAAAAAACAAACAAAUUAGCAGAAAUGGAACAAUGCAUCAUGAGACAAUUCAAACCAUUGGACAAGAACAAGAAAUACAAAGAAAGGAAGUGAACGAAUUACAAGAAAAACAGCAAUACAUGCCAAAUGAAAGAAAAAGAAAUUUAUUGGAACAGACAGAAUCAAGGAUUAGAAGAUUCAGGGAAGAUUUGAAAGACACGUUUGUAGAAACUGAGACACAGAACAAAGUUUUUGAUUUCCUAGAGAGAGAAAACUUCUUGGUAAUUAUAUCAAAAGGAGGCCGUGGGAAAACAGCAUUGAGUCUACAGUUAGCUGUGCAAUUUAAAGAUAAAGGGUUCACACCAAUGUACAUGGUAAACAAUGAAAUUGAAACGAUGAGAGAUCUAAUAGAUUAUAAAUGUAAAAUUUUCAUUAUAGUUGAUGAUCUUUUUGGUCAAACAAACUCACAUAUUAAUGAACAUACGUUAAACGUUAUCUACGAUUCUGUUCGCAGUGAGAAUUCUCAAAGCAAAGUUAUAUUGAACAUAAGGGAAAGUCCAGGCUGUAACAAAAGUAUUUUAGAGAGUCAAUCAAUACUAAGGGAAACUAAAGUUAUGAAUUUAGAUAAUGAAACUUAUGAUUUAAGUCAGUCUGAAAAAAGGGAAAUAUUAU